GCCUGUCUUUGCUAGGUUGGAGGGACCCCGACGAGACGCGCCGUACCGGGCUGAAGGAAAAGACGACGCACC
rnacentral:ncRNA from 1 species